rnacentral:rRNA from 1 species
AACGAACGCUGGCGGCAGGCCUAACUCAUGCAAGUCGAACGCCGUAGCAAUACGGAGUGGCAGACGGGUGAGUAACGCGUGGGAACCUUCCCUAUGGUUCGGAAUAGCUCAGGGAAACCUGGGGUAAUACCGGAUAAGCCCUUCGGGGGAAAGAUUUAUCGCCAUUGGAUGGGCCCGCGUCGGAUUAGCUAGUUGGUGGGGUAACGGCCUACCAAGGCGACGAUCCGUAGCUGGUCUGAGAGGAUGAUCAGCCACACUGGGACUGAGACACGGCCCAGACUCCUACGGGAGGCAGCAGUGGGGAAUAUUGGACAAUGGGCGAAAGCUUGAUCCAGCCAUGCCGCGUGAGUGACGAAGGCCUUAGGGUCGUAAAGCUCUUUUGGCGGGGAAGAUAAUGACGGUACCCGCAGAAUAAGCUCCGGCUAACUUCGUGCCAGCCGCCGCCGUAA